rnacentral:rRNA from 1 species
UUGAACGCUGGCGGCAUGCUUUACACAUGCAAGUCGAACGGUAGACCCUUUCGGGGGUUGAGAGUGGCGAACGGGUGAGUAAUGCAUCGGAACAUACCCAGUCGUGGGGGAUAACGUAGCGAAAGUUACGCUAAUACCGCAUGAGUCCUGAGGGAGAAAGCGGGGGAUCGCAAGACCUCGCGCGAUUGGAGUGGCCGAUGUCAGAUUAGCUAGUUGGUGGGGUAAAGGCCUACCAAGGCGACGAUCUGUAGCGGGUCUGAGAGGAUGAUCCGCCACACUGGGACUGAGACACGGCCCAGACUCCUACGGGAGGCAGCAGUGGGGAAUUUUGGACAAUGGGCGCAAGCCUGAUCCAGCAAUGCCGCGUGCAGGAAGAAGGCCUUCGGGUUGUAAACUGCUUUUGUACGGAACGAAAAGGUCUGGGUUAAUACCCUGGGCUCAUGACGGUACCGUAAGAAUAAGCACCGGCUAACUACGU